GACGAACGCUGGCGGCGUGCUUAACAUAUGCAAGUCGAACGGAAAGGCCCUGCUUUUGCGGGGUGCUCGAGUGGCGAACGGGUGAGUAACACGUGAGUAACCUGCCCUUGACUUUGGGAUAACUUCAGGAAACUGGGGCUAAUACCGGAUAGGAGCUCCUGCUGCAUGGUGGGGGUUGGAAAGUUUCGGCGGUUGGGGAUGGACUCGCGGCUUAUCAGCUUGUUGGUGGGGUAGUGGCUUACCAAGGCUUUGACGGGUAGCCGGCCUGAGAGGGUGACCGGCCACAUUGGGACUGAGAUACGGCCCAGACUCCUACGGGAGGCAGCAGUGGGGAAUAUUGCACAAUGGGCGGAAGCCUGAUGCAGCAACGCCGCGUGCGGGAUGACGGCCUUCGGGUUGUAAACCGCUUUCGCCUGUGACGAAGCGUGAGUGACGGUAAUGGGUAAAGAAGCACCGGCUAACUACGUG
rnacentral:rRNA from 1 species